rnacentral:rRNA from 1 species
GACGAACGCUGGCGGCGUGCUUAACACAUGCAAGUCGAACGGUGAAGCGCCUUCCUUUUUGGUGGGUGUGGAUGAGUGGCGAACGGGUGAGUAACACGUGAGUAACCUGCCCCCUUCUUCUGGAUAACCGCAUGAAAGUGUGGCUAAUACGGGAUAUUCUGGGUCUGUCGCAUGAUGGGUCUGGGAAAGAUAUUGUUUCGGUGGGGGAUGGGCUCGCGGCCUAUCAGCUUGUUGGUGGGGUGAUGGCCUACCAAGGCGGUGACGGUUAGCCGGCCUGAGAGGGUGGACGGUCACACUGGGAGUGAGACACGGCCCAGACUCCUACGGGAGGCAGCAGUGGGGAAUAUUGCACAGUGGGCGCAAGCCUGAUGCAGCGACGCCGCGUGAGGGAUGGAGGCCUUCGGGUUGUGAACCUCUUUCGCCAGUGAAGCAGGCCUGCCUCGUUUGUGGGUGGGUUGACGGUAGCUGGAUAAGAAGCGCCGGCUAACUACGUG